rnacentral:lncRNA from 1 species
GCUGUUGCAGAUAACAAGUGGUCUAAAUGGAAACAGAGGUAUGUCCUGCUUAAUUCCAGGGUCAGGUCUUUAUCAGAUACAUUGUUGAGCACGCACAAAAGUUCUUUCCAGAUGUCAACCUGACAAAGAAAAGCAAGCGACUGCUCCAGUUAAUGACGCAGUAGAAAUAUGCAGCGUACAUUAAACCAGAUGACUAUGAUAAAAAAAAUGGAUAAGCGAUUAAGCAUAUCUGCAAAUAGAAUGCAGCAGCUAACAAACAACGUAUUCACAUGACCAAACUGGAUACUUUUACUACUGAGGACCAGCAACCACACCAACCAAAUCAUUUGCGGAGUCCCCCGUGUUUUCCUUCAUUAGUUUCAUCUAACAUACGAUCUUAUCAAUUUAAUCGCCACCCUCUUUUUAUCACGGAACAACCUGCCGCAAGAGAUCCACGCAGACAAACUAAACAAUAAUGAAAAGCAGCACUGGCUACACAGGAGAGGUACCGAGAUCGUACGCGCUUCAUUAACGAGCAGCCGACUCCCCGAUUUCCACUACAACGGGGCGCUAAUAUCAAACGCGAGGGGAAAAUAUUUUGCGCGGAUUUGGAGAAGAGCCGCAGCCAUUUGCGAUGCGACAGCAAACAAUCAGUUGACGGUAAGGUCCAAGGGUUCGAAGAAAAUCACCUUCGCCUCGAAAAUCUAGGCCGUGAUGCGGCGGGAGAGAACUUCGCCGGCGGGAACAGCGAUCUGGGAGUCGUAGACCAAUCUCGGCGAUGCUGGGGCUCGGCUAGGGGAAGAGGACGACGUCGGAAUUGGGGGUUGGAGAUCGGCG